UGCAAGAGUUAUUGGAUCUGAUGGAUCCGUA
rnacentral:sRNA from 1 species